UUUUACAUGACUUGUAUUUGUCAAGAAGGGUAGCAUCAUUCAAAGCUGUUCGCGACAAAUACAAGCAGAACAAGUUCAAAUAUGUGGCAAACCCGACCUAUCGACCAGAGGUACCGAAUCAUUACUUUGAAGAAGAGUGAUGCAGAAUGAAGUUCAUGGCUGUCAUAAGGGGCUUUUUGAGCUAGGUUAGUAUUAAAGGAAUUAGUAGCAUGCCUUUCUUGGUCAUUCUAUGCUAUACACGCGCGCGCGCGCACACACACACACACACACACACACACACUCACUAAUUGAUGAUUUCAAUUUGUUGGCGGUUAUUUGGUAUUUGGAAAACAAGUUAAUUAGCAUAGGAAGAAUUUUUUUGAUGGCCACUUGCUGCCUGAUCUUGACACAAUGACACAUAUGAUAAUCCAAUUACUAAUGCUAACUGCCUGCUUAUUUUUGUUGAUAAUUUUGUUGUAUUGUACUACUAAUUAAUGACCAAGUCCGUUUGUGUUGAAGUUGUCACUUGUUGUUAAUACAACCUAUGUUCCUGGGAUCUUGUCCAUGAUAAGUGGCGUUUGGCAAUCAACUUAAUUAGCCUCAGGCAUAAGUUAUUUUGUUGCCAGAUACCUGCCUCUGGAUUACAGGAGGGGGUCCUGUCAUGAUGAAAAAAACAUGAGUGAGUUUUUACCAAUGAUAACCAACAUUAAUUAACUCUAAACUAAUUAUUAAAAAACUAUUAACAAACUUAUCUCUAAUAUAUUGGACCGGAUUUAUAAUACUCAAUACAAAUAAAAAGCGACUUAUCUCUAAUAUAUUGGUGCUAGCAAACCUUGUUUACCAAUUUGAUUGGAAAUUGGCUGAUGGAGUAGCGGGAAAGGAUUUGGACAUGUCUGAGACUGUUGGCCUAGAUUGUCAUAGAAAAUUCAGUGCAAUUCACCCAAUACUUUUUCAUAUUCUCAGUUCUCUCUAAACACAACUUCUGAACUUCACACAAAUUCUCUAUGGUAUUUACAAGGUUUAACAUAUCACUCAAAUCCUAGAACAUAUAUCAUUCUACUAUAGGCUUGAAAGUAUUAUAUAGCACAGUCACAAUAUAAUUUUGCAUACACUAACAUAUAACGAAACUUAAGCACAAACACCAUCUGUUCCAGUGACACACGUGACCUGAUAACCGCCCAUGAUCAACUUACCGUCCUCUUAUUGCAAUCAGACGGCGAUACACUAAUCAUGCAACUAUAUAACCAUCUCAGAAUACCAGUCCAUAAAGCUCACCUAUAUCUAUUUCUGGAAAAAACCUCUGGUUCUCCUAAAAAUGUCACUUAUUUGUGUGUUAGAAUCUUUUCAGGUACACCACUGCAGUAAAGUAGCAACACCGUCCUUUACUGUAACAGUAUAUUAAGCUACGACUGUCAUCAUCAAUCCAAUCCAGAUCAGUAUUGAUCUUGAUUUGUGUGAUGAGAGAAACCAUUUCUUCAAAGCAAAGUUGAUUAUUGGAAAGCAGCCAAUGUGUUUUUUUUCUCUUCUUCCAAGUGAUGCCUCCUAUAUGCUAUACAUGGGUCUUUCCUUUUAUUUAUAGUAUUCCUUUAAUAUAUGUGAAAAAAGUAAAUAUAUCACUCAUUGUAGAACAAAGAAAGUAAUUCACUGUAAAGUGUGAAUAAUUAACAAAAAUUGACUAUAAUCACGAUGAAAUAGUUGUUUGGAAGUUAGGAGAGGACAGAAAUGAAGGAUUAUGAAAGAAAAAGGAAGAAGCAAUAAUAGUCAUGCUACGUACCUUGCAUUGCACAUAUAUUUAUUUUUCUUUAGGACAAAAACUUCUAAUUUGAUGCCUAGGACUUUAUUUAGAUGAUUUCAG
rnacentral:lncRNA from 1 species